rnacentral:rRNA from 1 species
AUGUACUAGAGGGCAGGAUCAGCGUUAAUGUGUAGGGGGAUGGUGUUAGACUGAAGUAUGUGUCGUAGAGCGCGGUGAGGCGGUUUUGUAAAGUGGAUGUGAAAGCCCACGGGUCAAGCGGUGAGGGUCAGUGGAAACUGGAAAACUUGAGUGCAGAAGAGGAAAGUGGAAUUCCAUGUGUAGCGGUGAAAUGCGCAGAGAUAUGGAGGAACACCAGUGGCGAAGGCGACUUUCUGGUCUGCAACUGACGCUGAUGUGCGAAAGCGUGGGGAUCAAACAGGAUUAGAUACCCUUGUAGUC